AAACAUAGCUCUGAGGAUAUAUUUAGGGUGAGGCCUGCCCAAUGAGAAAUUUAAUGGCCGCGGUACUUUGACCGUGCUAAGGUAGCAUAAUCAGUUGACUUUUAAAUGAAGUCUGGAAUGAAAGGGAAAACGGAGUUUGGCUGUCUCUAUUAUUUUAAUUUAAAUUUACUAACUAGAUGAAAAGGUCUAGAAUAAAUAAAAGACGAGAAGACCCUAAGAGUUUUAAUUAAUGAUUUUUGUUGGGGCGAUAAAAGGUCAUAAUUAACACCUUUUUGUUAUAAGACGGAUUUAUCAUGAAAAAAUAAACUACCUUAGGGAUAACAGCAUAAUCUUAUUAAGUUUAUGACCUCGAUGUUGGACUAGGAAGCUAUUAGGCUAGCCGCCUAAAAAGGGAAUUCUGUUCGAAUUAUAACUCCUACGUGAUC
rnacentral:rRNA from 1 species